rnacentral:rRNA from 1 species
AUUGAACGCUGGCGGCAGGCCUAACACAUGCAAGUCGAGCGGAUGACGGGAGCUUGCUCCUUGAUUCAGCGGCGGACGGGCGGGUAAUGCCUAGGAAUCUGCCUGGUAGUGGGGGACAACGUUUCGAAAGGAACGCUAAUACCGCAUACGUCCUACGGGAGAAAGCAGGGGACCUUCGGGCCUUGCGCUAUCAGAUGAGCCUAGAUCGGAUUAGCUAGUUGGUGGGGUAAUGGCUCACCAAGGCGACGAUCCGUAACUGGUCUGAGAGGAUGAUCAGUCACACUGGAACUGAGACACGGUCCAGACUCCUACGGGAGGCAGCAGUGGGGAAUAUUGGACAAUGGGCGAAAGCCUGAUCCAGCCAUGCCGCGUGUGUGAAGAAGGUCUUCGGAUUGUAAAGCACUUUAAGUUGGGAGGAAGGGCAGUAAGCUAAUACCUUGCUGUUUUGACGUUACCGACAGAAUAAGCACCGGCUAACUCUGUGCCAGCCGCCGCCGUAACAC